CCUACGGGUGGCAGCAGUAGGGAAUCUUUCACAAUGGGCGAAAGCCUGAUGGAGCAACGCCGCGUGCAGGAUGAAGGCCUUCGGGUUGUAAACUGCUUUUAUAAGCGAGAAAUAUGAUGGUAACUUAUGAAUAAGGAUCGGCUAACUACGUGCCAGCAGCUGCGGUCAUACGUAGGAUCCGAGCAUUAUCCGGAGUGACUGGGUGUAAAGAGUUGCGUAGGCGGGACUGCAAGUCAGAUGUGAAAACCAUGGGCUCAACCCAUGGCCUGCAUUUGAAACUGUAGUUCUUGAGUGUUGGAGAGGCAGGCGGAAUUCCGUGUGUAGCGGUGAAAUGCGUAGAUAUACGGAGGAACACCAGUGGCGAAGGCGGCCUGCUGGACAAUAACUGACGCUGAGGCGCGAAAGCGUGGGGAGCAAACAGGAUUAGAUACCCUUGUAGUC
rnacentral:rRNA from 1 species